GAUGAACGCUGGCGGCGUGCUUAACACAUGCAAGUCGAACGGAAAGGCCCAAGCUUGCUUGGGUGCUCGAGUGGCGAACGGGUGAGUAACACGUGGGUGAUCUGCCCUGCACUUUGGGAUAAGCCUGGGAAACUGGGUCUAAUACCGGAUAGGACCAUCGUUUGGUGUCGGUGGUGGAAAGUUUUUCGGUGUGGGAUGAGCUCGCGGCCUAUCAGCUUGUUGGUGGGGUAAUGGCCUACCAAGGCGUCGACGGGUAGCCGGCCUGAGAGGGUGUACGGCCACAUUGGGACUGAGAUACGGCCCAGACUCCUACGGGAGGCAGCAGUGGGGAAUAUUGCACAAUGGGCGCAAGCCUGAUGCAGCGACGCCGCGUGGGGGAUGACGGCCUUCGGGUUGUAAACUCCUUUCGCCAAGGACGAAGCGUUUUGUGACGCUACUUGGAGAAGAAGCACCGGCUAACUACGUG
rnacentral:rRNA from 1 species